rnacentral:tRNA from 2 species
GUUUUUUUAGCUUAAAUAAAGUGUAGUUUUGAAGCGACUAAGAUGGUAUUUCCUUAAAACA